rnacentral:rRNA from 1 species
AUGGUUCGCCCGGCGGCGAACUACGCGGACGGCGUAGCUCAGGCCCUUGUGGGCAAGCUCGGGCAGCUGCUGAGCGAGGAGUACCACCUCCUCAGCGGCGUCCGCGGCGAGGUCGCCCAUCUGAGGGACGACGUGUCCAUCAUGAACGCCCUCCUCCGCAUGCUCUCCGAGGCCGACGACGGCUCCGUCAACCAUUUCGUUCGCGAGUGGAUGAAGCAGGUCCGCGAGCUCGCCUACGACGGAGAGGACUGCAUCGACAUCUUCGUGCUCCGCAUCAGCUGCGCCCCGCGGAUCCCCCGGAUGCUCGGCGGUGCCCGGCACCUGGUCGUCACGCUUCGGGCACGGCGCCGUCUCGCCGCCGACAUCCAGGCCCUUCGCGCCCGCGCCGCCGCGCUGGGCGAGCGCCGCGUGAGGUACGGCGUCGACGGGCAGACGCUUCGACCGUCCGUGUCUUUCGGCUCCAGUGCCACUGUGGCGUCGUCGUCUGCGGAUGUGGCCCGCGCGAGCACUGCCAACGACCCUGGCCAGUUGGUCGGCAUCAAGGACCAGGUUGAGAGCUUGUCCGACAAGGUGAAAUCCAUGGAGAUGACGAGUGACAAUCAGCCUGACAGGAGGCUCAAAGUGUUCUCCAUCGUGGGGUUCGGGGGACUCGGGAAGACGACGCUUGCCGUGGAAGUGUGCCGCAAGCUGAAGGAGGAGUUCACCUGCCAGGCAAUCGUAUCGGUUUCGCAGGCGUUCCAGCCCAGUAAAGACAUGGCUGGGCUGCUAGGACGCAUCCAUCAACAGGUCAUGAAGGAGAAGAAAGGAUUCCACGAAGAGAUUGCUCCAACCACCACGCUCAGCGAGCUUCUCGCGGAAAAGAGGGAGAAGAAGGCAGCUGGAUCAGGGAGUCGCUGGCGGAGCCGCUACCCUCCACACCAACCUCUUCAUCCUCCCUCACCCACCACCUUUUCCUUUCCUCCUCCUCUCUCCACCACCACCUCUGCCCCGUCGGGCAACCAUCUCGUAUGA